AGAGUUUGAUCAUGGCUCAGAACGAAUGCUGGCGGGAGGCUUAAGACAUGCCAGUCGAAAGCGUGUAGAAAUACACGAGUCGGCGCACGGGUGAGUAACGCGUGGAUAUCUGCCUUUUGGUUCGGAAUAACCUCGGGAAACUGGGGCUAAUCCCGGAUGGUUCCUUCGGGAUAAAGAUUUAUCGCCUAAAGAUGAGUCCGCGUACGAUUAGCUAGUUGGUGAGGUAAUGGCUCAUCAAGGCGACGAUCGUUAGCUGGUCUGAGAGGACGAUCAGUCUCACUGGGACUGAGACACGGACCAGACUCCUACGGGAGGCAGCAGUGGGAAAUAUUGGACAAUGGGGGCAACCCUGAUCCAGCCAUGCCGCGUGAGUGAUGAAGGCCUUCGGGUUGUAAAGCUCUUUUGGCGGGGACUAUGAUGACGGUACCCGCAGAAUAAGCCCCGGCUAACUGUCGUGCCAGCAGCCGCGGUAAGACGAAGGGGGCUAGCGUUGUUCGGAAUUACUGGGCGUAAAGCGCGUGUAGGCGGUUAUCCAAGUCAGGUGUGAAAGCCUUGAGCUCAUCUCAAGAAAUGCACUUGGUACUGGGUGACUAGAGGACCGGAGAGGAUAGUGGAAUUCCCAGUGUAGUGGUGAAAUACGUAGAGAUUGGGAAGAACUCCAGUGGCGAAGGCGGCUAUCUGGACGGUUUCUGACGCUAAGUCGCGAAAGCGUGGGGAGCAAACAUGAUUAGAUACCCCAGUAGUCC
rnacentral:rRNA from 1 species